UACGGAGGGUGCGAGCGUUGUCCGGAAUCACUGGGCGUAAAGGGCGCGUAGGUGGUUUGUCGCGUUGUUCGUGAAAACUCACAGCUCAACUGUGGGCGUGCGGGCGAUACGGGCAGACUAGAGUACUGCAGGGGAGACUGGAAUUCCUGGUGUAGCGGUGGAAUGCGCAGAUAUCAGGAGGAACACCGGUGGCGAAGGCGGGUCUCUGGGCCGAUACUGACGCUGGAGGAGCGAAAGCGUGGGGAGCGAACAGG
rnacentral:rRNA from 1 species